GGCUAUUAGCUCAGUUGGUUAGAGCGCGCCCCUGAUAAGGGCGAGGGCGCUAGUUCGAGUCUAGCAUGGCC
rnacentral:tRNA from 2 species